CGAACGGACGAGAAGCUUGCUUCUCUGAUGUUAGCGGCGGACGGGUGAGUAACACGUGGAUAACCUACCUAUAAGACUGGGAUAACUUCGGGAAACCGGAGCUAAUACCGGAUAAUAUUUUGAACCGCAUGGUUCAAAAGUGAAAGACGGUCUUGCUGUCACUUAUAGAUGGAUCCGCGCUGCAUUAGCUAGUUGGUAAGGUAACGGCUUACCAAGGCAACGAUGCAUAGCCGACCUGAGAGGGUGAUCGGCCACACUGGAACUGAGACACGGUCCAGACUCCUACGGGAGGCAGCAGUAGGGAAUCUUCCGCAAUGGGCGAAAGCCUGACGGAGCAACGCCGCGUGAGUGAUGAAGGUCUUCGGAUCGUAAAACUCUGUUAUUAGGGAAGAACAUAUGCGUAAGUAACUGUGCACAUCUUGACGGUACCUAAUCAGAAAGCCACGGCUAACUACGUGCCAGCAGCCGCGGUAAUACGUAGGUGGCAAGCGUUAUCCGGAAUUAUUGGGCGUAAAGCGCGCGUAGGCGGUUUUUUAAGUCUGAUGUGAAAGCCCACGGCUCAACCGUGGAGGGUCAUUGGAAACUGGAAAACUUGAGUGCAGAAGAGGAAAGUGGAAUUCCAUGUGUAGCGGUGAAAUGCGCAGAGAUAUGGAGGAACACCAGUGGCGAAGGCGACUUUCUGGUCUGUAACUGACGCUGAUGUGCGAAAG
rnacentral:rRNA from 1 species